rnacentral:piRNA from 1 species
UGUCUUCAUGGAUGGGAUCCCCGA